rnacentral:rRNA from 1 species
CCCGGUGGUAAUAGCGAGGGGGAAACACCUCUUCCCAUUCCGAACAGAGUCGUUAAGCCCCUCCGCGCCGAUGGUACUCCGAGCGAGAGCUCGCGGGAGAGUAGGUCGCCGCCGGGU